rnacentral:rRNA from 1 species
GAUGAACGCUAGCGGCAGGCUUAAUACAUGCAAGUCGAGGGACAGCACAGGUAGCAAUACUGGGUGGUAACCGGCAAACGGGUGCGGAACACGUACACAACCUUCCUUUAAGUGGGGGAUAGCCCAGAGAAAUUUGGAUUAAUACCCCGUAAUAUAGUUGAAUGGCAUCAUUUGAUUAUUAUAGCUACGGCGCUUAAUGAUGGGUGUGCGGCUGAUUAGAUAGUUGGCGGGGUAACGGCCCACCAAGUCUACGAUCAGUAGCUGAUGUGAGAGAAGUAUAAGCCAAACGGGCACUGAGAAACGGGCCCGACGCCGACGGGAGGCAGCAGUAAGGAAUAUUGGUCAAUGGACGCAAGUCUGAACAGCCAGGCCGCGUGAAGGAUUAAGGUCCUCUGGAUUGUAAACUUCUUUUAUUUGGGACGAAAAAGGGCCUUUCUAGGUCAACUGACGGUACCAGAUGAAUAAGCACCGGCUAACUCCGUGCCAGCAGCCGCGGUAACAC